UUAAGAGAGAAGCAAGUUUUGCGUGCGUUGCUCUGAGAUGUUGUAAUUGAUGUUAAUAUAAAUUAUUACUGAGGUCACAGCAUUUCGCAGGUUACUUCUUUGGCGUUUUUAUGACGUAACAUACAGGGCAUGGAUGGGCGCAGAAAGAAGAUAACACCCCUUACCAACCGUGAUGGAAAACUGCGUAAUAUGAGGACACUAGCCAGAAGAAAAACGAGCACUCAGCUGUGACAGCGAGGUAAGAUUUCAGCAGUGAAUGCAUAGAAAGGAAGCUGGUUGGUCACUGAUUCUUUGUGAUAAAUGGCUUAUAAACACAAGGUCAUAAUUGUAGUUUUUAUUAUUUACAUUUAAAACAAUAUUCAUAAAAUCAACAUGUCCUUAAUGUCAGCAUAUACUUUUGUUUUUCAGAUGGGAAACCCUCUGUUGUGAUUCUGUGGAAAGAAAAGCACAAUCAUUUGUUGAUGUGCUUAGUCAUCAUAAAAUCAACUUGUGUAAUGCAUUUUUCCACAAUAGUAUUUUAAGUUCACUGUACUACUUGUGUUAUUCAUGUGACCAUAUGUCAAGCAAUGAAAGGUUCUAGACUAUAGUGACAGUGACUAAAGUGAUCUUUUUAACAGAUGAAGCAGAGAUGUGGUUUUAACUGAUCAGUCAGUUUUAUAAUUUAGAUUCAGUUUUAAUGACAGACAUAUAUGGAAAAAUAGAAAGUGAUAUUAUAUAGGCCUGUUAUCUUAGAUUGGCCUGAUUGAAAGCCCUCUCAAAAACACAAAACAAACACUAAAAUCAAUAAAAGGACACAUACAAACAUGAUUUGAUACAUUUAUACUUUUAUGAAAACCUUAACCAUUUGUAAAAGGUAUCAUUACAGAUGUUUGUGUGGUAUUCUUCUUAUGUUGUUUUGACUGUAGGUGCCACCAGCAUGUGCCGCUUCAAGUGAUUUGAAAGAGCAAAUCAUUUUGCAAAGCUCUUGGUUUGCAAACUCUGAUUCAGAGUUUAGAAAAGGUUUUCUCUACACAAGUCUAGACAGCAAUAUCUGAUUAUAAUUACAUGAAAAUCAUUUUAUUAUUAAUUAAAUAAUUGUCAUGCAAUAAAAAAAAUAAGUCAACUUUAAGUAA